rnacentral:rRNA from 1 species
AGUGAACGCUGGCGAUAGGCCUAACACAUGCAAGUCGAACGGCAGCACAGUAGAGCUUGCUCUCUGGGUGGCGAGUGGCGGACGGGUGAGGAAUACAUUGGAAUCUACUUUUUCGUGGGGGUAAACGUAGGGAAACUUACGCUAUUACCGCAUACGACCUACUGGUGAAGGCAGGGGACCUUCGGCCCUUGCGCGAUUGAAUGAGCCGAUGGCGGAUUAGCUAGUUGGCGGGGUAAAGGCACACCAAGGCGACGAUCCGUAGCUGGUCUGAGAGGAUGAUCAGCCACACUGGAACUGAGACACGGUCCAGACUCCUACGGGAGGCAGCAGUGGGGAAGAUUGGACAAUGGGCGCAAGCCUGAUCCAGCCAUACCGCGUGGGUGAAGAAGGCCUUCGGGUUGUAAAGCCCUUUUGUUGGGAAAGAAAUCCAGCUGGCUAAUACCCGGUUGGGAUGACGGUACCCAAAGAAUAAGCACCGGCUAACUUCGUGCCAGCCGCCGCAGUAA